CCCACAUCAAGAAGUCAGCAAGACUCCAAAGAAGGGUCCAUCUUGCUUCCUGAAAACUGCUGGACAGGAUUUGUAGUGCAUCUAUGUGCCUGCAGGACUAAGCAAGCACAGACAGCUCUGAGCUGGCUUUGCACUAAACCAGUCUGGUCCUGCAUCUGGGCAGAGUCUGGGCGAGCAUCUGGAGGUGAGGAGGAGGCAGUGAUCUGUGGGAAUGGUCCAGGAGCCAGAUGCUCUCUGGUGCCACGGAAGCCCCGGGUGAGUUUUUCUGAGGAAACAGCAGCUGUCCUGAUGCCACACCACACAGACAAUGGGCUGGCUCCCCAGUGCUUGCAUCUUUCUUCAUCUGUAUCUGAAUAAAUGAGGAAGGCACCAGCAAAUUCAUGUGUCAGGAAGCUGGUCACAGAUGCUACUUCAUGCUAACGAGCCCGGCGAGCCAGGCACUUCCUGGCAGUAUCAGGGGAAAACAGAUUUUGCCAGAAAUAGCUGAGUAGCUCUUGCAAGGGCUUCUCUGCCCAAGCAAACUGGGGAGAUGGUACCGAGCCAGGAGAAGGCUGCUCCCCUGCUUUCAGCACCUCUCCCCUCCCUCUCGUGGCUCCAUACGCAGUACGGAGGCACCGG
rnacentral:lncRNA from 1 species